CUACGGGAUGCUCCAGUGAGGAAUAUUGCACAAAGGAGGAAACUCUGAUGCAGCAACGCCGCGUGGAGGAUGACGCAUCUCGGUGUGUAAACUCCUUUUAUAUGUCAAGAAAAUGACGGUAGCAUAUGAAUAAGCACCGGCUAACUCCGUGCCAGCAGCCGCGGUAAUACGGAGGGUGCAAGCGUUACUCGGAAUCACUGGGCGUAAAGGACGCGUAGGCGGGAUAUCAAGUCAGGUGUGAAAUCCUACAGCUUAACUGUAGAACUGCACUUGAAACUGGUAACCUAGAGUAUGGGAGGGGGAGAUGGAAUUAGUGGUGUAGGGGUAAAAUCCGUAGAUAUCACUAGGAAUACCUAAAGCGAAGGCGAUCUCCUGGAACAUAACUGACGCUAAGGCGUGAAAGCGUGGGGAGCAAACAGGAUUAGAUACCCCCGUAGUC
rnacentral:rRNA from 1 species